UGACUGUAGGAGCAGUGAAUUAGCGAACUAGCUGUGUUAGCUAAAUGUUAGCUUCAUUAGGAUACUCCAGGUGGCAGGAGGGCAUGGGAGCAUUUGCAUAUUCGAGUGUUUGUGCAUAUCCAUAGAUGGUCCCAUUGUUAUCGAAGGUAAAUGUGAAGCCAGAUCAAUCCGUGAAGCCGGUGUAAACUUUGUCGUUACGUUAUAUCGUAAUCAUACAACGCUAUCGUAUUUUGUGUAGUUUUGAAAUCAGCAUGGUUUAUUGUACAUUUUUUUAAAAAGCCCGACGAUAACUUUGCUGCGUAAACCGUACACAUAAUGACUGAGAUCAGCUUCGGAGUCGAAUAAACGUUCGGUUUCAACAGAUUUACCCUCGGGCAACGUCUGUAGCUGAGGGUAAAUGUGUUGAAAUUGAACGCCUUUUUUUUGUCCAUUGACUCCAGCAUGUUUCCUUACUGACUCGCCCUUCAGGCUUCCUUUUCUUGACCAGCUGGUGAGAUUGUUCAUACUGUAUACAGCAGAUUUAUGGAGAAGGAUUGAUGCUUUGUUGGUGCAUUCUUUGUAACUCACUAAAUGUCAAGUGGGCGUCUAAACUUCGGGAAAAAUCUCGUAAUUGCGAGAAAUAAAAUGAAAAUCGUGAGACAUGAACUCAAAAUUGUGAGAAAAAUGUCACAAUUACAAGAUGUAAACUCACAAUCGCGAGAAAUAAAGUCAGAAUUGAGAGAAAUAAAGUCAGACUUGUCAGAUAUAAACUGAAAAAUGCGAGAAAAAAGUCAGACUUGUGAGAUAUCAGAAGUCAGAAUUGUGAGAUAUAAAGUCAGAAUUUGAGAUAUAAUGUCAGAAUUGUGAGAUAUAAAGUCAGAACUUGAGAUAUAAAAAGUCAGAAUUGUGAGAUAUAAAGUCAGAAUUUGAGAUAUAAAGUCAGAAUUGUGAGAUAUAAAGUCAGAACUUGAGAUAUAAAGUCAGAACUUGAGAUAUAAAGUCAGAAUUGUGAGAUAUAAAGUCA
ensembl:lncRNA